rnacentral:rRNA from 1 species
UACGGAGGAUGCGAGCGUUAUCCGGAUUUAUUGGGUUUAAAGGGUGCGUAGGCGGCCUGCUAAGUCUGGAGUGAAAGGUACCGGCUCAACCGGUACAGGCUCUGGAAACUGGCGGGCUAGAGAGCAGGAGAGGGCGGUGGAACUCCAUGUGUAGCGGUAAAAUGCGUAGAUAUAUGGAAGAACACCAGUGGCGAAGGCGGCCGCCUGGCCUGUUGGUACUGACACUGAGGCUCGAAAGCGUGGGGAGCAAACAGG